rnacentral:lncRNA from 1 species
AUGGAGCUGUUUAUUGGCAAUCAGAGUGGGUCCAGGCUGGGAAUGAUCUGGUUUGGGGAAGAGAGAACAGAAAUAGUUAAGAGAACCUUGAAAUCCAAGACCAAUGAGAAGAUGACAAGAAGGGCACUAGUUGCCCUCAUUGAGUUCAAGUCACCAGACUGGGGUGAACCACAUCUCAGAGUACUCAGAGUACAGAGAACCACAGAAAAAGGACAUCUCAGCCUGUUUUUAUUCAUUACUAUUAUUUGCAAAAAGACAGCCAAGAUAAGACCUGAAGUUCACAUAACUCCUUUUGUUACAGAGGAUGAGGAGGCUAAAAAAUUCUAAGAAGAACUCAAAGUGAUCUUCCAAAUUAAACCAACA